UCCUUGAGGGAACUCAGAAGGAGGAGGCUG
rnacentral:piRNA from 1 species